rnacentral:lncRNA from 1 species
CCAGACUUUGCUGUCAUAUUAGUACUAAUGGGUCUCCCAAAAGUGGGAGUUUUCAUGCUAGUGGUGGGAAUGGACAAGACAAACUGGCCUCUCCUCACUGUCGCCCAGAUAACAGACACUUUCUCUUACAGUGAUGACAGAAGUCACUCCUUGAAGUGCUGGUUCGCUUUCCAUUGUGUUUCCUUAAACAGAAUCAAGUCAGAUGCUCACUCUUACUGCAAAGAAUGGCUCGUAACAAUCAUAGUUUAUCCCCGUGGACACAUAGUGGAUCCAUGUAGAAGGAGAAGAGGGAAAGAUUAUGAGUGAGCAGCUCCCAGGACACCUCCAGUGAAGACUAGAGGUUUGGAUUUGAUCCUGCAGACAAGAGACAUCUCUAGGCUCUACACAGCAGUCAGCUGUCUCAUCUGAUAUUUUAAAUACAGAGGGAUUGAUAUAAGUGGGUUAAAUAAUCACUUUUACUAAUACCACUAAAGCAAGAAGGACUCUUGGUAGAUUCUUGCAAUAAUCUAGACACAGGAUAAGAUCUAAACAGAGACAGUGUCAGUUGAUGUGUAAACUAAACAUCAGUUGAUGCUGAGUUUCAAAGCUACGGGACAUUUUACCACACAAUGUACUGUGCCUAGGUUCAACCCAGACAGCUCUCAUUUGUGAAGGAGAAAAUAGUGAACGAGACAUUAGAGGAGGCUUGGCCAAGUUUCUCUCAGCUGCCAAACAUUACCUGCCUAACAAAGCAAACAUCUUAUAAGAUUGGGGUGAGAUUUCUCCCGUUCUUUGGCUCUCUGACAUGUCCGACACCAGCUGGCUUGCUCGCCGCCCCCCCCCCCCAUCUACCUGGCGCCAGGACAAGC